rnacentral:antisense_RNA from 1 species
GUUGCCAUGCAGAAUGUCUAUUGAUCAGCUGGGCACAUCUGCACACAUUUACAAUAUCUGCCACCUCUUUUAACCCUCAACCCCGCCCCACAAAAUGAGUGAUGGUGCUUGUUGAUUUGCAGAUUCACGGUCUGGUGAGACAAGUUUGAGAUCUCAUAUUUUCAGCUCACCCUUGAAAACCUUUCUUGGAUUUGACUGACCUUGAUGGCUCCCUGGAAUUUCACCUACAUUUUAUGGGAACUUCAACUCUCCAGAGAGAAGAGCUUUCAGAUAGCUACAGGACUUGCAACUAUGACUUUUAGCUUUCACUUUUGAAUGAGGCUCCAAAUGUCUCAAUGGUGGCGCUAUUUCCAGAUUUGGGGUAAGCCAAUUCUUUGUUGUUGGGGUUGUGCUGUGCAUUGUAGACUAUUAAGCAGCAUUCCUGGCCUCUACCCACUAGAUGCCCAUAGCACCUGUAUCCCCAUCGUAACAACCAAAACUGUCUCCAGACAUUGCCAAAUGUCCACCGCAGGCUAAAAUCACCUCCUGAUUGAGAACUAUUGAAUUAUACUAAGGUUCUCAGAGAGUCCUUCAGCAAGUUCUCAAAACUGAAUUGAUUCAAAUUGACUUGGUGAGGUCAGGGCACACAGAGAUUCUUUGUUGUUGGGGGUUGUAAAGGGCCUGCUGAACAUCCGCUCAGUGAGGUCAGGGGCUUCAGCUAAAAGGGUUGGGAAGCCCCCAUCUAUAGAAAACGUGCCGUGUACAACGUGAAAUCAAUUCCCAU